GGCGCAGGUCAGACAGUCACUCAGCUCAUCCUGAGCUCUCCAGAACGGAGGGAUGUUUACCAUGAAGCCAUCAAAAGGAAACGGGGAAUAAACCCAUCAGCUGGAAUAUAUUUUUUCAUUAUCGAUUUGUUUUCUUUUUAUGUGUUUCGGGUUAUUUAUUUUUUUCUUUCUAAUUUGUAUUUUUGAUGUCGAGGACUAGAGAGCACUUCAAACAAACCUACUUUUACCUCACUUUAUCUCUCCUCCACUUUUCGUUCCCUCCCGUUAUAUAUCAAAGGCACCCCGCGUAAAGGACUGAUGGACAUGUGGUGGAAAGUGGGGCUCGUGCUGGUGAUGUGCUCGGGUCUCACGAGCAGCGAAGCCCGAGAGGAGCACCGGGAUUUGUCUCCUCGCAGCAUGAUGCUCAGAGUGCCGGUCGAAACGUUGGACUUUGGCUUCGUGCCCUCUGUGGUGUACGAAACGCACGCAUAUUACGAACCGGGUCCCAUUGGCGUUCUUUUCCACACUGUCCACGCGUUUCUGUACGUGGUUCAACCCAACCCUUUCCCGAAAGAUCUCAUUGUUAAAAUGGUCCAGCAGAACAUGGGAGGAAUCAAAGGGAAUGAUUACAAAAAGCCAGAGAAUGUUGUAUUAUUACUACAGGCUAUCUACUAUGAGCUCGGCUUCAUAGUCCUGACAGCACUGGGGGUGAUAUUUGUGCUGUUCGUGCCGAUAGUGGGCCUGUGUUUCUGUGUGUGCCGCUGCUGUGAGAACUGUGGGGGUGAGAUGCAUCAGAGACAGAAGAAGAACGGCGAUUGCCUACGAGGCUUCUACAUGGCCACACUAAUCACUACCUCUGUCUUCCUCGCAGUGGGAGUGACGGUCGCCUAUGCAGCAAAUCAGAACAUCACAAAUCAGAUCAAGAGCACCAGGCGCUUCGUCAGCACUAACAUAAGAGACCUGAAAUCUUUUGCCAACUACACACCAGCGCAAAUAGACUACCUCUCUGCACAGUACACAACAGCCAAGAACAAAGUGUUAUCAGACUUAGACAAUAUUGGGACUCUGCUGGGAGGACAGAUUCAUAAUCAGCUGGAGAGAGAAGUGGUGCCUGCUUUGGACAAUGCUCUUCGCAUGACAACAGUUAAAGUGGAGGGUGCUAUUAAAGCCAUGCGGGAGUCCAAAGAGGCGUUAGAGAGUGUGACCACAUCACUGGAGAUCCUGCAGGAAGGGACAGGCAGACUCCAGAACUCUCUUCAGUCUGAACGUGCAUCUCUCUCAAACACACUCAACGACCCGGCCUGCUCUAAUGGAGAUGUAACACACACCUGCAACAGCAUCCGCGGAACACUCAGCCAGCUCGCUCUCAGUGCAAACUUUCACGGGUUGCCUGAAGUUGAGGCACCUUUGGCCAAUCUGGAUGCUGUGCUUAAAACAGACCUCAGCAAUAUUGUACAGAAGGGCUACUCUUCCUUUAAUGACACACCAAGGUUGGUCCGCGAACAGACAAAAGAAAUUGUGUCAGCUCUACCCAAAGUGAAAGGGCUGCUUGAUAAGUCUGGUGGAGAGAUAAUUGGCUUCACAAAGAUGUUCCCGUUAGAACCAGCACUUGAGAACUUCACAAAGUUCCUGACGGAGAGCCAGAAGAACAUUGAAGCGUACUAUCCACAGAUCGACCAGCUGGACUUCUACAGAUGGAUAGGGUGUGUGGUGAUUUGCUGUAUGGUCGUGUUGGUUCUGGCCUUUAACUUCCUGGGUCUGCUGUGUGGAUCAUGUGGCUAUGAUAAAAAUGCUACACCCACAACACGUGGCUGUCUGUCCAACACCGGAGGAAACCUACUGAUGGCUUCUGUUGGCUUCAGCUUCAUCUUCUCCUGGGUGCUCAUGGGAGUUGUCGUCACCACAUUUGUUGUUGGAGGAAACAUAGAGAAGCUUGUGUGUGAGCCGCUGGCUAACAGACAGAUUUUUAAGAUCAUCGACACACCAUAUAUGGUCCAUCCUGCCAAAAAGAACUUUCUUCCUGGUAUGCUGUUUCAAGACCCAAACAUCGACCUUACUGUUGGCAGUAUGUACAGAGAUUGUUACGAGAAUAAUGGUUUAUAUUCUACACUACAACUGGAGACUAAGUUCAACUUCAACAAGUUUCUCAAUGCCACAGUGUAUAACCCGGAACUGACCAAGAUAUUUAACAGUGUGAAUGUGGAUCUCAAGGGGAUGUUUCUUCUGGAACAGGAGGGCAAAAAUAACCUUGUUGACUUUGCCAACACAGGCAUUGGAGAUAUCGACUAUCAGGCUUAUCUAACUGAGGUGAAUAAAGGAGUGACAGUUGUGGAUCUUUUGUCCUAUGCAAAUGAACUUGAAGCUCAAGCAGACCAACUGCCACGAGGGGCUCUUGAGAAUGCGCUUAAGGGCCAUGCCAGCAGUAUAAGACAGAUCCACAAAGAACAAGUGGUGCCAAUGGAACAGGCUAUGAAAUUUGUGAAAGCAAGGGGCACUCUAAGUCAAAGCAUUAAGCUGCUUCAGAAAACCUCCAGAGAACUACCUAUUAAAGUGACAAAUGUCUUGAAUGCCAUUGAGGCAGUAGAGUACCUCAUCGCUAACAAUGCCUCACAUGUGGUCAAACAGGAGACUGAUAAAUUCAUUAAGAACAUUAUGGGAUAUUUUUCACAAUAUACGGAGUGGGUCAAGCACUCUCUGGAAAUGGAGGUCGCCCAGUGCAAGCCCAUCAGCAACAUCAUAGACUCGCUAGAGAUUGUAGCCUGCAGCUUCAUCGUUGACUCAGUGAACACAUUCUGGUUUGGUCUUGGAGGAUGCUGUUUGUUACUCAUUCCCAGCAUCAUCAUGUCGGUAAAACUCGCCAAAUUCUACCGCAGGAUGGACACUGAAGACGUCUUUGAUGAUAGUAUGGACGUUGUUGUAAGUGGUUAUCAUAAUGAGUCUUUAUAUGGCAUAAACAACCCCGUGAUGAGCAGCUAUCCAUCCUAUGAUACAAUGAGGUGGUAUCCUCGGGCCUCAGCCCCCCCAAGACAGCCUGACUGGUGACACAAAUUCACACACAAACACACUUUCACAUGGGUUAUGCAACCGUAUAUGCAUCCUACAGUGGUACUGAGAACUGGAACUAAAGAGAGUUUAGCAGUCAGGGAUUGUCAUUCUUAAUUAAGAUUCUGAAGACGACAACCAAAGAUGGAUAAAAAGGGAAUAUAAUCAGUGAAAAUUGAAUUAAUAACAGUUCAUUCCAGUUUCUAACAACAAUACAUACUCAGACCUUAACUGAAGAAUUUCAAGCAUAUUCUUCAUACAGUUUAUCAUACAUGGUAAACAGCAAUGUGUUCUUUUUAUACACUUUCAGAAAGUUUUUGAAAGUUUUUAUGUAUUUUGUUAAUAUCUGUUUUAUAAAAUGUCCUUUAGACAAUUGUGGGUACAUCUAGAUUUUGCAUUGGUCUUUUUAUCAUUUGAUAUAAAAGGGCAAGAAAGGUCUGUGAUGUCAGUCUGUGCACUGUGAUAUUUUCUUGUCAGUUAUUGAUCAUGAAACCAUGAACCAAACAUCUCAAGUCUGAAUGUCAAAGCAGUUUCUGAAGUCUUUACAGUAGAAAGUGAAGUUCUUCAUUUAUCAAUUUAUCUUUUCAGUUUUUCUGUUAAAUGUUACUUUUUUGUACAUUUUAUUGUUCAAUGAAUGAAUCAAGUAUUCGUUUCAGAAAGGUUUCUUAGUAAGAGGAAAUUUGCUAACUACGUUGGAUGCACUGGAAAAGGCUCAAUGUCUUGAAAGACAAAUUAAGCCAAUGUCCUAAAAGACUGAUUGAUCCUAUGUUUAAAAUAUCAGUACUUUUGAUACAAGACAAUAAUUACAUCACUAAAAACAAAUGACUAUUAUAGAUCAGUACAUUUUUUGUUUCUUGUUCUUGUCUUUCUGUUUUCUUCUUUUGAGUGUCUUACGUAUUUAAUUUUCUUUUUGUGUCUACUUCAAUACAAGAAACUGAAAAUAGAUUAAUAUGUUCAGUUUGUAACGUACUGUAAUUUCUUAAAAUGCAGGUAUGAGUACAGCAUACAGUGGUCAUACAAUUCCACAGAGUCCUCUAUUGUAUAAUAAACCAAAGGUUUUUCUCAUAUACCAAAAAAGGUUUGUGAAUGAAAUUUAAACUAAAUUCCAAAUCACAUCUCUCUCAUGGCCUACUGUGUGCUACUGUAUGCACAUGUUCUUUGGCAGUUGUACAGUACUGAUCCCCAGGGUCUUGUUGUCACCGAUGUUAUGAGACUCAAAGGCACUUGUACCAAGUGUUUUGGAUUAUUAUAAUGUUAAUCCCACUGGAACUUGGAGGCUGUGUUACAAUAAAAACAAUCAGCUCAAAA